UUUAACCUAGGAUUCCAUUCCCACCUCACUCUCUUUUCAUGACUGCAGAGGGUACUUGGGACUGUUAAUGGGCUCAAUUAGAGCUACAGCCCCUUCUGUUAGUCCAGAUUCCCAUGCCCUCCUACUCAAUCUGCAUUACCAAAGGGAGUACAAUGGAUUGUUUAUGUGCUUAAAUGGAGCUACAGUCCCUUAUGUAACCUAAGAUUCCAUUUCCACCUAACUCCCUUUCCUGACUGCAGAAGGUACUUGGGACUGUUAACGAGCUUACUGCAGCUGCAUUCCCUUCUGUUAGUGUACAUUCCCAUCCUCUCUUACACAGUUUGCAUUACCACAAACUGUAUAACUAUUAAUGUGCUUAAAUGCAACUACAGUCCCUUAUGUUUACCUAGGAUCCCAUUCCCACCUAACUCCCUUUCCAUUAAUGCAGAGCCUACAUGGGACUUGUUAAUGGGCUUAAUUGCACUGCCCUCCCUUCUAUUAGCCUAGAUUCCCAGGCUGUCCUCGAUUUGCAUUACCAAAGGGGGUAUAAUGGACUGUUAAUGUGCUUAAAUGCAGCUACAGUCCCCCUUUUUUUUUUUUUUUACCUAGGAACCCAUUCCUACCUAACUCCCUUUUCAUGACUGCAGAGGGUACUUGGGACUGUUAAUGGGCUUUAUUACAGCUACAGUCCCUUCUGUUAGUCUAGAUUCCCAUCCACUCCUACACAACUUGUAUUACCACAGACUGUACAAGGGACUGUUAACGGGCUUAAAUACAGCUACAGUCCCUUAUGUUAACCUAGGGUCCCAUCUCCAACUAACUCCUUUUGCAUGACUGCAGAGGGUACUUGGGACUGUUAUUGGGCUUAAUCACAACUACAGUCCCUUCUCUUAGUCUAGAUUCCCAUCCCCUCCUACAGAUUUACAUUACCACAGAGGAUACAAGGGACUGUUAAUGUGCUUAAAUGCAGGUAUAGUCCCCUUUAUUUUUUCACCUAGGAUCCCAUUCCCAACUAACCCCCUUUGCAUUACCACUGACUGUACAAGGGACUGUUAACGUGCUUAAAUGCAAUUAUAGUCCCUUAUGGUAAUCUUGGAUCCCACCCCCAACUAACUCCCUUUGUAUGACUGCAGAGAAUACUUGGGACUUUAAAUGUGAUUGAUUGCAGCUACAGUCCUUUCUGUUAGUCUAGGAUCCGUUCCCUUCCUUCCUGAUUUGCAUUACCAGAGAGGGUAGAAGGGAUGGUUAAUGUACUUAAAUGGAUGUACAGUCCCUUAUGAUAACCAGGAUCCCAUUUCCACCUAACUCCCUUUGCAUUACCACAGAGGCUACAAAGUACUGUUGAAGUGCUUAAAUGCAGCUACAGUCCCUUAUGUUAACCUAGGAUCUUGUUCCCACCUAACUCCCUUUGCAUGACUGCAGAGGGUAUUUGGGACUAUUAAUGGGCUUUACUGAAGCCACAGUCCCUUUUCUUAGUCUAGGAUCCCAUCCCCUCCUACAGGAUUUACAUUACCACGGAGGGUACAAGGGACUGUUAUGGUGCUUAAGUGCAGGUAGAGUUCAAGGAUCCCAUUUCCACCUGCCUCCAUUUGCAUUACCAAAGAGGCUACCAGGGACUGCUAAUGUGUUUAAAUGCAGGUACAGUGCCUUGAGUUAACCCCGAAAUCCCGCCUAACUCCCUUUUCAUGACUGCAGAUGGUAAUUGGGACUGUUAACAAGCUUUAAUGCAGCUACGGUUUCUCUCUUAAUCUAGAAUCCCAUUCCCUCCUACUUGAUUUACAUUACCACAGAGUGUACAAGGGACUUUUAAUGUGCCUAAAUGGCACUACAGUCCCUUAUGUUACCUAUGAUCCCAUUCCCACCUAACUCCCUUUGCAUGACUGCAGAGGGUACUUGGGACUGUUAAUGCGUUUACCUGCCUAUACAGUCUCAUCUGUCGGUCUAGAUUCCCAUGCCCUCCUACUCAAUUUGCAUUAUAAAAGAGGGUACAAAGGACUGUUAAUGUGCUUAAAUGCAGUUACAGUCCCUUUGUAAGGUGGGAUUCCAUUCCCAUGUAACUCCCUUUGCAUCAUCCCAGAGGCUACAAGGGACUUUCAAUGUGCUUAAAUGCAGGUACAGUCCCUUAUGUUAACCUUGAAGUACGUUCCCACCUAACUCCCUUUUCAUCACUGCAAAGGGUACUUGGGACCGUUAAUAGGCUUCACUGAAGCUGCUGUCCCUUCUGUUGGUCUAGAUUCCCUUUCCCUCCUUGAGUUGCAUUACCACAGUGUACAAUGGACUGUUACUGUGCUUGAAUGCAGGUACAGUCCUUUUUUUUUAAACCUAGGAUCCCAUUCCCACCUAACUCCCUUGCAUUUCUGCAAAGGGCACUUGGGACUACUUUAAUUGGACUCCUGUCCAUUCUGUUAGUCUGGGAUCCCAUCCCCUCCUACUUGAUUUGCGUUUCCACAGAGGCUACAAGGGACUGUUAAUGUGCUUAUUAAAUGCAGGUACAAUCCCUUAUGUUAACCUAGGAUCCCAUUCCCACCUAUCUCCUUUUGCAUGACUGCAGAGGUAUAUGAGACCUUUAAAGUGGUUAGUGACAGCUGUAGUCCCAUCUAUUAAGUGUACUUUCUCAAGCACUCCAAUUCCCUCACGUAACUUUGGAACAUAUUUGGGACUGUCACUGUGCUCGUUUUUAGCUGUGGUCCCUUCUGUAAUUCUAGGAUCUCAUCCCUUUCUACUCAUUUGUAUUACUUGUUGGUAUUGGGACAGAAAGGUGCUUAAAUGCAGCUGUAAUCCAUUUUGUUAAUCUAGGAUUCCAUGCCCUCUAACUCCCUUAACAUUACCUAGGAGUGUAUUUGGGACUGUUGAAGUGCUUAAUUGCAUCUGUGGUCCCUUCUGUUAGUCUCACUUCCCAUGCCCUCUUACUCCCUUUGCAUUACAGCAGAGGGCACUUGGGACUAUUAAAGUGUUUAAUUGCAGCUGUGGUCCCUUCUCUUAUUCUGGGGUCCAUUCCCCCCAGCUUUGUUUGCAUUACCACAGAAGGUACUUGGAGCUGUGAAUGUGUUUAAAUGCAGAUGUGGUCCCUUUUGUUAGUUUUGGAUCCCAUGACUCCCUUUACAUUACCUGGGAGGGCAUUUGGGACUGUCAUGAUGGUAAUUGCACCUGUGUUCCCUUCUGUUGGUCUAGGAUCCCGUUACCUCCUACUCCCUUUGCAUUACAUGGGAGCGUUUUGGGGACUCUUAAGAUGCUUAACUGCAACUAUAGUCCUUUCUGUUAGUCUAAUUUCCAGUCCCUUUCUACUCUCUUUGCAUUACCACAGAGGGUACUUGGGACUGUUGUGGUGCAUCCCAUCCUCUCACACCCUGUCAGCAUUACAGCAUAGGGUCCUGAACACCAAGGCCCCUUCUUUUCACUGUUAAUGCACAGUUGCAUUUGUCCUUCUUCCUCUGCAGUAUAUAAAGACCUCACUAAUUUCCCUUUUAUUCAGUGGUGGAUGCCCUUUACUCAAGACCUUUGUACUAGAAUAAAGUGAACCAUGGUAAUUGACCACAAAUAUAUCUUUCACUUAAGUCCCUUGUACUCUCUUUGUUUUAUAAGAAGAUGUAUUAAUUACCUCCGUUACUUUUUCUGGGAGUAUUUACAUGCAAAAUUCCAGUGUUCAAGGCCCCUCUCUUUAAACUAAUAUCCCUCCCUUUCUGUAUUAUAUCAGGGGAUGUUAGUGACUCAGAGUCCUUCUCUUGGGACUCAUUGUGCAUGUGCCCUCAUGACAAGCUAAUAUCUUGAGUUCUUAGUAUUAUAGGAGGGACUACUGACUAGUUUCUCUUUUGGACAGUUAAUGUGCAAAAUUACACUAGGAUCCCAUCCCAUUUCACCUCCUUUGCAUCAGGGGUCCUGAUCAAUUGUGGCUGCUUCUCCUCUAGAGUUUAAAUGUGCAUAAUUUCAGUAACCCAUGCUCCCUUAUGUUAGAUUAGGAUCCCAUUUCCUUGCCCCAUUUACGUUACUGCAGGGGCUUCUGACUAGCCAAGAUUCGUUUUCUUGGACUGUUAAUGUGUAUACUUACAUUUGCUCCUGUACCUGUACACCAGGUAAGGACCCUCCCCAUUCUAUUUAUAUUCCAGCAGGAGGUGCCUACUACUCAAGAUCUUACACACUACUGCAGUUAAUGUGCACAAUCUUAGUUGUCUUGUACACAUUCUCAGUUGUCCACAACUGUGCUUUUUAGAUCAGGACUCCACUUAUUGAAGCACAGGUUACUUACUACCUUAAAGCCCUUGUUUUGGGACUGUGACUAUGUGUAAUUACAAUUGUCCAUGGUCCUUUGAGUUAACUUGUGUCCCUGACUCUUUUCACAUUCUCUUUGCUUUACUGCAUGGGGUACUGUCCACUUAAGGCCCCUUUCUCAAAUACGUGUAAUGACAAUUACAUUAGGAUCCUUCCCCUUCAAACUCCUUUGAAGUACCACAAAGAUUUUGACCCCUAAGGUCCCAUUUCUUGUCCUGUUAUUGUAUUUGUCUGGGUUCCUGUGCACUAGACAAGGACACCUCUCCAUUCCCUGUCCUUCCAGCAGGAAGUGCCCCAUCCACAAGACUGUUAAAUUUGGACAGUCAAGGUGUACAAUUGUAACUGACCACAACCAGUCACCUUGGGCAUUAAUGUGCAUAAUUGCACAUGGCUCAUGCCAUAUGGAUAAGAUCCUAUCCUCUCAGACCCCUUUUGUAGUACAGCAGGGGUACUGAUCACUAAGGCCUCUUUUUAUGGCUUGUUAUUGUGCAUAAUUGCAUUUGUGCAUGUUCCUGUACACUAGAUGGGGACACCUAUCUCCCCACUCCCUUUGCCUUUUAGCAGGGAGUACCCGCUACUCUAAGAUCCUUAUAUUUGUACAAGGUAUACGAUUUUAAUUGACCACACCAUGUCCCUUCGACAUUAAUGUACAUAAUUGCAACUUAGUUCAUCUUAUCCUGUUGCCCUCCAUUUGCAGUCUACCAGGGUUGCUGACUCCUAAAUCCCCAUUCCUUGGCCUGUUAAUGUGCAUAAUUGCAUUUGGUUCUUGGGCAGUAGACAAGGAUCCCCUCCCCCCCCCCCAUUUCCUAUGCCUUCCAGUAGGUUGUGCCCACCACCAAGACCUUUCUAUUUGGACAGUUAAUGUGCAGAAUUGCAGUUUUCCACAACCCUGUUACUUCUAGGACUAUUUUAUCUCCUUUGUAAUACUGCAGGGGAUACUGUUUUCCCCCAAGGUCCCUUCUAGUGGACCGUUAAUAAACAUAAUUGAAAUUGUUGUCUUUAUCAGUAGACUAAUGUCAUAUCCCCUCAGCUAACUAUCAUGACCUCAGCUCUUGGACAAUUAAUACGCACCAAUAACAUAUCAAAAGUACGAUCAUUAGAUAGGACCCCUCUACCCUCACUGUAUACAUCAGGGGUACUGACUAAGGCCCCUUUUCUGGACUGAUAAUGUGAAUAUUUGCAAUUAUCUAUUCUCCCUUCUUAUUAGAGUAGGAUAGCAUCCCCUUGCACCCCCUUUGCAUUACUGCAGGGGCUGCUAAUGACACAAAACUUCUACUGGGACUGUGAUGAGCACAAUGGCAAUUAGCAAUGGGUUUUUCCUCCCUGGCUUUGUUAGGCAAGCAUUCCCAGCUCCAGUUUCCCAUGGCAUAAUAAAGUAUAAACACUGCAGUAUGCUGUGAACUUGUCCAUCAAACAGCGACCCAUACUCCCACUCCUUUUGCAUUGGCUCCAGUGUAUCAAAUUUCAAGUAGUCAUAGUCUUGCCAUUAUCUUCCCUCUCCAGACCCCUUGCGUGCCCUUGGACCCUUCUUAUGGAAUAUUAAUGCUCACAAUUUCAGGUGUCCAUGUAUCCAGAUAAGACUGUGCUCUCUUGCCCCACCUGCUCUUGCCCUGCCCUGCCCCUUUUGCAUUGUUGCUGGGAAGUGUUGACUGAGCAAAAUGCUUUUCUCUUGGACUUAAAACGUUAACAAUCUCAGAUGUCAUUGUUUUGCCCAUUUUGAAUUUCUGUAAUACCUUGGUUGCACUUUCUUUGGUCCAGCCUAUUAGACAUGGACCCUUCCACUUCCUUCUUUGCAUUACUUCUGAGUAGUGCUGACCUCCCACAACCCCUUUGGUGUUAUUAACACAGUAUUAAUUGUCCCAUUUUUUAGCCCAUCAGCCCCAGAUCUCCCUACCACUUUGACAUUGUAUUUGUGCAGCAUUGACUACCAAAAGCAGGCCUGAACUAGGUGGCUGGGCCUUCACUCCUUUUCCUGCAUUUGUUAAUGAUCCCAGUUCCAAUUAUUUUCACAUUCUGGGGACAGGAACCAUUCCUGCCCCCCUCUUACUGCUUUACUAGGCAAAAUGCCCAAGGCAAGUCAGACCCAAGGGAACUGGAUUGCUACCCUUUAUUUUGGGUUUUCAUUAUACAUAAGUAUCAAUUGAAAAUUGUCUCCCCAGGAAGGAAGUUUAGCACUAUCUGCAUUCUUCCUUUCAAAGCAGAUUGCCUGGCAAAGAAUCUCUCCUCUCCUCUUGUAUAUUGCCAUUGUAUGGUGUCAACUGCCAAGAUACAACCAAAAAGUUGCUGUUAAUUUUUUAUGUUGUAAGGAAGAUUGCAAGGUAGAAUUGAUAACCUGGUCGUUGAAAUUUUGAAGUCUAAAAACCUAUUUAUACCAUGUACCUGAUGACCAGUGUCUCUCAUUUUACUAAGGGUGGUGGGUCUGUGGAUAGACCACUGUGACUUUGAUAUUUUAGUAUGAUCAAAGGAGUUCUAGAGUGGAACUUUUAAGACCAGUAUCUUUGGGCUCUACCACCAUUUUCAAACCAUUCCUUGUUUGGGCUUUAACAAUUUUCACUUGUAGAAAAACUACCUAAACUUCCUAAUCCUUAAAUUUUUUCAUCUGGAGCUCCAACCAGCCCCUACUUAUUUCAAGAAGAUUGCUGUAAAAGGAUAAAAUGAGAGAACAUAUGCUGAGGUGCUUUUGAAAACCAUAGAUCAAUUUAUUUGAUUAAUCUAUUACAUAAAAUGCCCCCUGUUUAAUUCUGCUAAUUUAAAGUAGCCUAAAGCACCACACUGAAGUGAGGACUUAGAAAUGAUGGAACCAGUUUCCCCAUUUUAUAUGAAAAGAAAAAUAAGCCAAGAUCUAAUCAUUCUUUCAGAUAUAAAUUUCAACAGUGAGAUAGCUGCCUGGUAAAAAUGAAUAAUAUUCCAGCUCUAGUGUACAGGGUGUUUGGUGGCAUAGAAGUAUUUAAUAUGGAACUGCUGGAGCAAAUAACUAGUUAUCACUACAGCAGUUCUUUGUAAUCACUGAGAAAGGAUACUCUUCUCUGAGAAGGAUGUCAAAAGAUUCGCCCAGCUCAGGGUGCUGUUUGCACUACUAGCUCCUUGGACAGCUGUAAGAAGUCUCUGGCUCUUUAGAAUACUGGAUGAAUUCUGAGCUGGUACCCCCACUCAAGAGGAAGGAUGGAUCGAUUUUAGGUGGAUUGAAGCCUGCCCUAGACAGCAGCCAAAGUCCUUCUGUGACACUGCCAGUGCUUGCCAUUACAGGACCUUAAGGAAACAACAGGCUAGAGAGGAGAGACAGGAGACACCUAUAUCUAAUGCUUCAGGACAUUCUGAGCAUGUGAGACCUGAGGAACUGCAAGCAGCUUUAAGAAGCUCUACAUUCAACAGGUCUUUCCUUUUGAGAAUCUGGAUAAGCUCCAACCAAUCUAAGAGGAUGGCUUGCCGGCUCCCUGGAGAAAAAGAUCUUCCUCAGAAGAAUAGGCUUGUUGCUUUACAGUGUUAAUGACCCAUUCCCUUUGACGAUCCCUAGGUGGAGAUGGGGCAUGAGGAUCCUCCAAGGGAAAAGCUCACUAUCACUGAGCAACAAUCCUAGGCCAGGAGGUUCUACCAAGAUUCUUUCCUGGGCCCAGUUAGGAAGAUGAAAUCUCAAGACAACCACCACACAUCCAGAGGAGAACAUGGACAACAACUGCCACAUCUGUGACAUUGAUCAUGGGCAGAUCAUCAUUCUGGACCCUCUGGUCUCCAAAGUCUCCCUUGAGGCCCUGUUGGAGAACUUUACCAAUCAUUUACAUACUUCAAGAUGCCUUGGGAUAGCUGUUGGACAAAACAAAAAACAAGCUGUUUGAGAAGAUAAAACAGAGUUGUGUCUUUUUAUGCUGUGCCUGCUAAUUGACAGAAGCUUCACAACUAUGAGUGGGAAUGUGACUAGAAGUGGCACAAAGUUAUCUAUCGUCAGGCUGGAUCUAAAGAACUAGCACCCUGCGUAUUCUAGCUCCUGAUUGUUCCCUUCAUAUCUGUCCAAUCAUUAUCUUUCCCAGAAGCAGUGCAAAGAGCAAGACAUUUGAACACACCAAAGGAAGAUCAACAUGCCUGGCACUCUAGAAUUUUAGAAUAGCAGAAUGAAUGUGUAUUUGUUUGCUUAUCUAUUUCUUCCUUGAAUGUCUUUGGUCUUUCUUCUCUAACUAAAGUGUGUCUUACCCAUUUCCAUGAUUCUCUUACUAGUUUCUUCUCUGUAUAUCUUUGUCUCAUUUUCUUUUUUGUACCCAAGAGUGGUCUGUGUCUUGUCUUAGAUGUCUCUCUCUAGUUUUUUUCAUUUUGUUACUGAUUCUCCUUGCUCUCCUAGAUCUGGCUUUUCUUUCACUGCUCUUCUCUUUGUGUCUCUUGAGUCACAUGCUGUGUGCCUUUUGCUCAUUUCUUGCUAUGCCUACCUCUCUUCUUUUUCUCUUUGUGAACUGUUUGUCACCCCCUCCCCUUGUUGGCUUGACAUUUCACCUUUUCUGAUACUGGCCACCCUUCUGCUGUUUCUACUCUUUAUCUUGCAUUGCUGUUUUCUACAUAUUCUUUCUGCCUCUCUUGGGCCAUUUUCUCUUCUUUUCCUGCUUUGUGUGCCCCAGUGUCUCUUUGUUCUUUGUGAUUUUCCAUGUCAGCAUUCAUCUCUGUGUUCUCUUAUUUCUUCUCUGCUUUUGCCUUUCUACUUACCUUUGAGUAUUUCAGUCUCUUCUUGAGUCUAUGUCUCCCCCACUUCGAUUUCAUGCAGUCCUCUCUCCUUGCAUAUUUUUUGUGCAUGUGUGUGUGCAUGCUUUUGUGUGUGUGUGUGUUUGUAACAAAGGGGCCUCCUAACCCCUUCCUAAUAGGUACAGAGUGUCAGCUAUCAAAAUAUAAGCAUUGAAGAGCUGUUCCUUAUGCCAGGCUGCCCGUGAGAUGAUCCAAGACCCAUAAAAGGCCCAAGGGUCUAGACUGGAGUUGGACGGAAGACUCAAGUCUCGGUGAGACAGAAGGCCAAAGACCCAGGAUGGGAUGAAAAGCCUUGGCUUGAAGACCUAUGACCCAAAAAUGGAAGGGCCCAAGCACACAUAAAGACCCAGGACUCAAGCCUGUCUAUACAGACAGAAGGCCCAAGAGAGACAGAUAUCUCCAGACUAAAUUAGGCGGGAAGCUGGAGGCCCAUGACCCAGAAUCCAGGAAGGAUAGAAGCCCCAAGACCAAAGGAAAUUCCAAGAUGAGAACCCUAAACCGCAGCUCUUUUCUAUUGUUCUCCUCCCUACGCUUGGACAUUUUCAGUUCUCCCUUUCCUGUUCUCAUAUCUCCGUUUAAACCCACUUCUUUUGAGAUGUCCUUUUUGAUGUUGCUGCUACUUUAAAGAAACAUACCUUUAGAUCAGUAAUAUUAUGCCUGGGCCAGUCUUAAGCCAGAUUUUAUCACAGUUUUAAGCCAUUUAUUAAGUUUUUGGUGUUUUGCAAAGUUCCAUUUCUCUUCACCUCCUCUCCACUUGAGAGGAACACAUAGGUGACAUUAUAUUUCAGUCCCCUCUUUCCUCGGAAGCUCUAGGCUGAUGAGAGAACGAAAGCAUCAGGUUACUGAGUGGAAAAAAAGUGCCAGGCUAUCUAGAGAAAAUGUGAAGAGAUGCUCCAGGCCAAUGAGAAGAACUAGACAAGAAAUACACAGAUGUGCCAGCUUGCUGAGAAGCACCAGCCAGCAACAUAUUACUUCUUUGAGCUUGGUUUCUGGCAUCCCAAGACUACCACUACUGCUAAACAAGAAUAAGAGAACAUGCUAUCAUCUGAUUUUCGUGGCAUAAAUGAAGUUGUGAACAAAUCUUUUUUUAAAAAGGAAAUGGCUUCAUCUUUAUCCUUCUACCUCAAAGGGAAUCUAUGACAAAAUGCUCCAAUGAAUGGAAGACACACUUGGACUUGUGAACUGAUGUGAAACGCAGAAUCUCUGAGCCAUGGUUGUUUUGAAGAUUGAAAAGUCUUGUUCAGCAUGGGUGACCAGCAAAAAAGCAAUCUAGAGCUGUCUGUAUGUCACAACUGAGACAAAUUGGGGAGUUUGUUGUUUAAUGUCAAAUAAAAAUGUACUGUUUUGAAAA